rnacentral:rRNA from 1 species
GACGAACGCUGGCGGCGUGCUUAACACAUGCAAGUCGAACGGUGAUCCUUGGAGCUUGCUUCGGGGUGAGCAGUGGCGAACGGGUGAGUAACACGUGAGUAACCUGCCCCAGACUCUGGAAUAAGCGCUGGAAACGGCGUCUAAUACCGGAUACGACACGAUCGGGCAUCUGAAUCGUGUGGAAAGUUUUUCGGUCUGGGAUGGACUCGCGGCCUAUCAGCUUGUUGGUGAGGUAAUGGCUCACCAAGGCGAUGACGGGUAGCCGGCCUGAGAGGGCGACCGGCCACACUGGGACUGAGACACGGCCCAGACUCCUACGGGAGGCAGCAGUGGGGAAUAUUGCACAAUGGGCGAAAGCCUGAUGCAGCGACGCCGCGUGAGGGAUGACGGCCUUCGGGUUGUAAACCUCUUUCAGCAGGGAAGAAGCGCAAGUGACGGUACCUGCAGAAGAAGCACCGGCUAACUACGUGCCAGCCGCCGCCGUAAGAC